GAUGAACGCUGGCGGCGUGCUUAACACAUGCAAGUCGAACGGAAAGGCUCCUGCUUGCAGGGGUACCCGAGUGGCGAACGGGUGAGUAACACAUGGGUGAUCUGCCCUGCACUUCGGGAUAAGCCUGGGAAACUGGGUCUAAUACCGGAUAGGACCACAUUUUGGAUGGUGUGUGGGAAGGUUUUCGGUGGGGGAUGAGCUCGCGGCCUAUCAGCUUGUUGGUGGGGUAAUGGCCUACCAAGGCGUCGACGGGUAGCCGGCCUGAGAGGGUGUACGGCCACAUUGGGACUGAGAUACGGCCCAGACUCCUACGGGAGGCAGCAGUGGGGAAUAUUGCACAAUGGGCGCAAGCCUGAUGCAGCGACGCCGCGUGGGGGAUGACGGCCUUCGGGUUGUAAACUCCUUUCGCUAGGGACGAAGCGCAAGUGACGGUACCUGGAGAAGAAGCACCGGCUAACUACG
rnacentral:rRNA from 1 species